CCUACGGGAGGCAGCAGUGGGGAAUCUUGCGCAAUGGGCGGAAGCCUGACGCAGCAACGCCACGUGGGGGAUGACGGCCUUCGGGUUGUAAACCUCUUUCGGUCUUGACGAAGGCAUCUCGUUGUGGGGUGUUGACGGUAGGGACAGAAGAAGCACCGGCUAACUACGUGCCAGCAGCCGCGGUAAUACGUAGGGUGCGAGCGUUGUCCGGAGUUACUGGGCGUAAAGAGCUCGUAGGCGGUUUGUCGCGUCGGCCGUGAAAUCCUGCUGCUUAACGGUGGGCUUGCGGUCGAUACGGGCAGACUAGAGUUCGGUAGGGGAGACUGGAAUUCCUGGUGUAGCGGUGAAAUGCGCAGAUAUCAGGAGGAACACCGGUGGCGAAGGCGGGUCUCUGGGCCGAUACUGACGCUGAGGAGCGAAAGCGUGGGGAGCGAACAGGAUUAGAUACCCUGGUAGUCCACGCUGUAAACGUUGGGCGCUAGGUGUGGGGACUGUUUCCACGGUUUCCGUGCCGUAGCUAACGCAUUAAGCGCCCCGCCUGGGGAGUACGGCCGCAAGGCUAAAACUCAAAUGAAUUGACGGGG
rnacentral:rRNA from 1 species